rnacentral:rRNA from 1 species
UACGGAGGGUGCAAGCGUUGUCCGGAAUUAUUGGGCGUAAAGAGCUCGUAGGUGGUUUGUUACGUCCGCUGUGAAAUCCUAGGGCUUAACCCUGGGCUUGCAGUGGAUACGGGCAGACUAGAGGUAGGUAGGGGAGAAUGGAAUUCCUGGUGUAGCGGUGAAAUGCGCAGAUAUCAGGAGGAACACCGGUGGCGAAGGCGGUUCUCUGGGCCUUACCUGACACUGAGGAGCGAAAGCGUGGGGAGCGAACAGG